GAAGGACGUUACUGAAUUAGAUAGCUGUUAAACAACGAGUAGCUAGUGAGCCAGUCAGCCGGGACAGUAACGUUGUUGUCUCUGUCAGAACUAUAUUCGGACCGUCUAGUUGAUUCAACCAGACAUGGCGCCCUUCGGUCUCCUGUCUGCUGGUGCCAGCCUUUUGGCCAAGUCACUCAGUCUCUUCUCCAACGCUUCCAGUCUUGCAAGGUUCGUCAGUGUGAUCCCAGCUGUAAAGAGCUUCACCACCAGUGCAGGUGCGCCCCCCAAGAGGCCCCUGAACGGAUACAUGAGAUUUGUGAAACAGCAACAACCUCUCGUUGUCAGGCAGUAUCCAGAUGUGAAAGCUGUGGACGUGAUAAGGAAGAUUGCACAGCAGUGGAGAACUCUGACAGCAGACCAGAAACAGCCUUUUCAACAGGCGUCAGUGGUUGCCAGGGAACAGUUUAAGGUGGACCUGCAGAGGUACCAGUCCCAACUCAGCCCGGCACAGGCUGCUGCUCUGAAAGAGGAGAGGAGACGGAGGCUGGCCAAGAGGAAAGCCAUCAGAAGGAAGAGGGAGUUGAACAGUCUGGGCAAACCCAAACGCCCCCGGUCGGCCUUUAACAUCUACAUGGCAGAACACUAUGAGGAGUCCAGAGGGAUUACCAUGCAGGGCAAGAUGAAGAUGCUGCGGGAGGAGUGGACCAAACUGGCAACUUCACAGAAACAAGUUUACAUGCAGCUGGCGGAGGAUGACAAGGUGCGCUAUAAAAAUGAGAUAAAGUCCUGGGAGGAACACAUGAUGGAUAUCGGACGGGAGGACCUGAUCAGACGGAAAGAGACCCGCAAGAAGAAAACCGCCACUAAAGGAGGCAAAAAGAAAUCCAAAGGGAAAGUGGUGGAAACCAAAGCUGCAGGAGCGACUACAGCGAGGAGCAGGAAAAAGGCUUGAGUUGUUCUGGAGAGGAAGGGUUCUGUUAGAAAGGCAAGUUACCGUCCCAAAUAAAAAUCAUUUUGUUUCAGUUAUCAGUUGUAAAUAAUCAUAGUUUCCUAUCAAUGCUCGUAGCACCUCCAACUGUGAAAGAACCUUCAAGGCAUCAGUCUGGGAAAGAUCAGGAAACAUUAACAUUCUCAACUGACAGUUUCUGCAGAAUUAUGAGAAUUGACUGUGCUUUAUUGUAAACUAUCAUUAAAGCAGUGUUCUUUCUAGUAUGAAAAUAUGAAUUACGUUGAAGUUAAGUUCCUGUCAUCAGGGCCACGUUCUGUAUAUGCUGUCUCUAUACAUGACAUCCUGUACAGGCUAGUCUAUACUAGAUACAGGGCCAGGUUCUGUAUAUGCUGUCUCUAUACGUGACAUCCUGUACAGGCUAGUCUAUACUAGAUACAGGGCCAUGUUCUGUAUAUGCUGUCUCUAUACGUGACAUCCUGUACAGGCUAGUCUAUACUAGAUACAGUCUUUAAGAGACUUGCCGGCUGAAGAACAAGACAGCGUUGACAUACCAGUUACAAGUUACUUUGCUUGUAGAAUGUAUUGGUGUUUUCCUGCGUAAAAGUUGCCUCAUGUUUUGUAUCUAAUCUUUUAUUAAAUAAACAUUUACAUACAUUUUCAAAAUAAAUGACACUUCAUAUACA